rnacentral:rRNA from 1 species
UGAGUAACCUGCCCUUGACUCUGGGAUAAGCCUGGGAAACUGGGUCUAAUACCGGAUAUGACUCCUCAUCGCAUGGUGGGGGGUGGAAAGCUUUUGUGGUUUUGGAUGGACUCGCGGCCUAUCAGCUUGUUGGUGGGGUAAUGGCCUACCAAGGCGACGACGGGUAGCCGGCCUGAGAGGGUGACCGGCCACACUGGNACUGAGACACGGCCCAGACUCCUACGGGAGGCAGCAGUGGGGAAUAUUGCACAAUGGGCGCAAGCCUGAUGCAGCGACGCCGCGUGAGGGAUGACAGCCUUCGGGUUGUAAACCUCUUUCAGUAGGGAAGAAGCGUAAGUGACGGUACCUGCAGAAGAAGCGCCGGCUAACUACGUGCCAGCAGCCGCGGUAAUACGUAGGGCGCAAGCGUUAUCCGGAAUUAUUGGGCGUAAAGAGCUCGUAGGCGGUUUGUCGCGUCUGCUGUGAAAGACCGGGGCUCAACUCCGGUUCUGCAGUGGGUACGGGCAGACUAGAGUGCAGUAGGGGAGACUGGAAUUCCUGGUGUAGCGGUGAAAUGCGCAGAUAUCAGGAGGAACACCGAUGGCGAAGGCAGGUCUCUGGGCUGUAACUGACGCUGAGGAGCGAAAGCAUGGGGAGCGAACAGGAUUAGAUACCCUGGUAGUCCAUGCCGUAAACGUUGGGCACUAGGUGUGGGGGACAUUCCACGUUUUCCGCGCCGUAGCUAACGCAUUAAGUGCCC